ensembl:lncRNA novel transcript, antisense to ARL15
AUAUCCCAUUUUGUUUAUCCAUUUAUUGGUCGGGUUCUACUUUUUGGCUAUUAUAAAUAAUGCUGCUUUUUAUGAGCAGUUUUGUGUAAACACAUGUUUUCAUUUCUUUUGGGUAUAUAUCUAGGGAUGGAAUUCCUGGGUCAUGUGUUAAAUCUAUGUUGUCAAAUGCUUUUCCUGCAUUUGACAUGAUCUAUUAACAUGACUGUAUGAUUUUUAUCUUAUAGUAUAUUAAUAUAAUGUGUUACACUGAUUUUUGUAUGUUGAAACAACUUUAUAUCCUGAGAUAAACUAUGCUUGAUUAUCAUAUAUAUAAUUCUCUUUUAUAUGUUGCUGGAUUAAUUUGUUAGUACAGUUGAUCCUUGAACAACAUGGGGGUUGGGGUGCUGACGGCCACACAGUCAAAAAUCCAUGUAUAACUUUUAAGUCCCCCAAAACUUAACUACUAAUAGCCUACUGUUCACUGGAAGCCUUGCCAAUUAACAUAAAUUUUGUAUAUUAUAUGCACAUUACAUUAUUACAAUAAGAUAAGCUAGAGAAAAUAAAAUGUCAUUAAUAAGAUAAUAAGGAAGAUAAAAUAUAUUUACUAUUUAUUAAGUGUAAGGGGAUCAUUAUAAACUUCUUCACUGUCUUCAUGUUGAGCACGCUGAGGAGGAGGAGGAAGAGAGGUUGGUCUUGCUAUCUCACAGGUGGCAGAGGCAGAAGAAAAUCUGCAUAUAAGUGGACCCACACAGUUCAAACCCAUGUUGUUCAAGAGUCAAAUAUAUUGGUUGAGAGAUUUUUGCAUCUAUAUUCACAAGGAAUAUUGGUCUUUAACUUUUUUUUGUAAUGUAUUUGGUUUUAGUAUCAUAGUAAUCUUGGUUUUGUGGCAUGAGUUGGGAAGUUUUCCCUCAUUUUUGCUUUGUUAGUUGAUUAAAUAUUUGUCAAACUGGCUGUGCGUCUUGGCUCACACCAGUAAUCCCAGCACUUUGGGAGGCUGAGGUGGGUGGAUAGCCUGAGGUCAGAAGUUUGAGACCAGCCUGGCCAACAUGGUGAAACCCCAUCUCUACUAAAAAUACAAAAAAUUAGCCAGGCGUGGUGGUGCACGCCUGUAAUCCCAGCUACUCAGGAGGCUGGGGCAGGAGAAUCGCUUGAACCUGGGAGGCAGAGAUUGCAGUGAGCUGGGAUCAUGCCACUGCAGUCCAGCCUGGGUAACAGAGUGAGACUCUAUCCCAAAAAAAAAAAAAAAAAAAAAAA